CCUAUCUCAGUUCAGAUUGGAGGCUGAAACCCGCCUCCAUGAAGUUGGAUUCGCUAGUAAUCGCGCAUCAGCCAUGGCGCGGUGAAUACGUUCCCGGGCCUUGUACACACCGCCCGUCAAGCCAUGGGAGCUGGGGGUGCCUGAAGUGUGCAGCCGCAAGGAGCGCCCUAAGGUAAAACCGGUGACUGGGGCUAAGUCGUAACAAGGUAAC
rnacentral:rRNA from 1 species